AUGAACGCUGGCGGCAUGGAUUAGGCAUGCAAGUCGAACGAUGAAGCCUAGCUUGCUAGGUGAAUUAGUGGCGAAAGGGUGAGUAACGCGUGAGCAAUCUGCCCUCAAGAUUGGGACAACACCUGGAAACGGGUGCUAAUACCGGAUGUGCUUAUAAUGACAUAAGUUAUAAUAAGUAAAAAUUUAUUGCUUGAGGAUGGGCUCGCGUUCCAUUAGCUAGUUGGUAAGGUAACGGCUUACCAAGGCAACGAUGGAUAGCUGGUCUGAGAGGAUGACCAGCCACACUGGGACUGAGAUACUGCCCAGACUCCUACGGGAGGCUGCAGUCGAGAAUCUUCCGCAAUGCGCGAAAGCGUGACGGAGCAAUGCCGCGUGCAGGAUGAAGGCCCUUGGGUUGUAAACUGCUGUCACUAGGGAUGAAUAAAAUGACAGUACCUAGAGAGGAAGCACCGGCUAACUACGUGCCAGCAGCCGCGGUAAUACGUAGGGUGCGAGCGUUAUUCGGAUUUAUUGGGCGUAAAGGGUCCGCAGGGUGUAAUUUAAGUCAGAUGUGAAAUCCAACGGCUCAACCGUUGAACUGCAUUUGAAACUGAAUUACUAGAGUAUCGGAGAGGUGAAUGGAAAUUCUUGGAGUAGCGGUGGAAUGCGUAGAUAUCAAGAAGAACACCAAAAGCGAAAGGCAGUUCACUGGCCGAUUACUGACCCUCAUGGGACGAAAGCGUGGGUAGCGAAAAGGAUUAGAUACCCUUGUAGUCCACGCUGUAAACGUUGUGUACUAGGUGUAGGAGGAUUUUACCCCUUCUGUGCCUGAGCUAACGCCGUAAGUACACCGCCUGGGGACUACGGCCGCAAGGCUAAAACUCAAAGGAAUUGACGGGGACCCGCACAAGCGGUGGAGCAUGUGGCUUAAUUCGAGGCAACGCGAAGAACCUUACCUGGACUUGACAUCUAGUGACCGUCUAUGAAAGUAGAUUUCCCUUCGGGGCACAAAGACAGGUGCUGCAUGGCUGUCGUCAGCUCGUGCCGUGAGGUGUUCGGUUAAGUCCGGCAACGAGCGCAACCCACGAUAUUAGUUACCAUCAGGUGAUGCUGGGGACUCUAAUAUGACUGCCCGUGUAAGCGGGAGGAAGGCGUGGACGACGUCAAGUCAGUAUGGCCCUUAUGUCCAGGGCUGCACACGUGCUACAAUGGCCAGUACAAUGGGCUGCAAAACUGUGAGGUUGAGCAAAUCCUUAAAACUGGUCUUAGUUCGGAUUGUAGUCUGCAACUCGACUACAUGAAGUUGGAAUCGCUAGUAAAGGCGUAUCAGCUACGACGCCUUGAAUACGUUCCCGGGUCUUGUACUCACCGC
rnacentral:rRNA from 1 species